ensembl:snoRNA
UUGCGCUGCCUUUGAGCCCCCGGCGCGCCUGCACGUGGCCGCCGGGGUCUAGCUGCGGUGCCACAGUAGGCGCUCGCGCAUAACUGGGGGCCCCUUUAACCGCGAGCUACAUCG